AUGAAGAACACAAUGCUUCCCCCCAGUGUGCUCCCUUCAGCUCUCGCUCGCUUUCUCUCUCUUCCUCUGUUUUAUUUACUCACUCCUUCCUUACUGCCCAAUCUUUUUCAUACCUAUUAUUCCCUGUUCUCUCAAUUUUGCUAUCUCUCUUUCCUCUUCCUCUCUCUCCCCCCAUGUGUCUCUCUUUCCCCACCUCUGUCUUCAUCUCUCUCCCCCCGUGUGUCUCUCUUUCCCCACCUCUGUCUUCUUCUCUCUCCCCCCGUGUGUCUCUCUUUCCCCACCUCUGUCUUCUUCUCUCUCCCCCCGUGUGUCUCUCUUUCCCCACCUCUGUCUUCCUCUCUCUCCCCCCGUGUGUCUCUCUUUCCCCACCUCUGUCUUCCUCUCUCUCCCCCCGUGUGUCUCUCUUUCCCCACCUCUGUCUUCCUCUCUCUCCCCCCGUGUGUCUCUCUUUCCCCACCUCUGUCUUCCUCUCUCUCCCCCCGUGUGUCUCUCUUUCCCCACCUCUGUCUUCCUCUCUCUCCCCCGUGUGUCUCUCUUUCCCCACCUCUGUCUUCCUCUCUCUCCCCCCGUGUGUCUCUCUUUCCCCACCUCUGUCUUCCUCUCUCUCCCCCCGUGUCUCUCUUUCCCCACCUCUGUCUUCCUCUCUCUCCCCCCGUGUGUCUCUCUUUCCCCACCUCUGUCUUCCUCUCUCUCUCCCCGUGUGUCUCUCUUUCCCCACCUCUGUCUUCCUCUCUCUCCCCCCGUGUGUCUCUCUUUCCCCACCUCUGUCUUCCUCUCUCUCCCCCCGUGUGUCUCUCUUUCCCCACCUCUGUCUUCCUCUCUCUCUCCCUGUGUGUCUCUCUUUCCCCACCUCUGUCUUCCUCUUUCUCCCCCUGUGUGUCUCUCUUUCCCCACCUCUGUCUUCCUCUCUCUCUCCCCGUGUGUCUCUCUUUCCCCACCUCUGUCUUCCUCUCUCUCCCCCCGUGUGUCUCUCUUUCCCCACCUGUCUUCCUCUCUCUCCCCCCGUGUGUCUCUCUUUCCCCACCUCUGUCUUCCUCUCUCUCUCCCUGUGUGUCUCUCUUUCCCCACCUCUGUCUUCCUCUUUCUCCCCCUGUGUGUCUCUCUUUCCCCACCUCUGUCUUCCUCUCUCUCCCCCUGUGUGUCUCUCUUUCCCCACCUCUGUCUUCCUCUCUCUCCCCCUGUGUCUCUUGUUCCCUCCCUCUGCUUCCCUGUUUCUGGAAAGCUGUAGGGGUGGAGCGGCCUCCUACUAGCCCACUGAGAGGAAAAUGA
rnacentral:lncRNA from 1 species